GGCUAAGGAAUAUGAGAGUUUAAUGGAAACCAAAAAUUCUGGCUCUGAUUCACCUUAUAAAGCAAAGCUUCAGCGAUUAGCCAAAGAUCUUCUAAAACAACUACAAGUUCAAGACAGUGGCUCAUGGGCAAACAAUAAAGUCUCUGCUUUGGAUCGGACCCUAGGAGAGAUCACUAGAAUACUGGAAAAAGAGAAUGUGGCAGAUCAGAUUGCAUUUCAAGCUGCUGGUGGAUUAACAGCCCUUGAACACAUCCUUCAAGUAGUAGUCCCAGCCACAAAUGUGAACACAGUUUUAAGAAUUCCUCCUAAGUCUCUCUGCAAUGCAAUCAAUGUUUACAACCUCACCUGCAAUAACUGUUUGGAAAACUGCAUUGAUGUUCUGUUUAGUAACAAGAUUACCUUCUUAAUGGACCUCCUGAUACACCAGUUGACGGUAUGUAAUAUUAUUGCUUUGAGUUAGAAGCAGUUAAGGUUUGAGAAAUAGUCCCUGUGGAGAAAACUAAAAGAAUUCAACUUAUUUACUCUCCAGAUGAAAAAAA
rnacentral:sRNA from 1 species